GAACGAACGCUGGCGGCGUGCCUAACACAUGCAAGUCGAGCGCGAAUGGAGCAAUCCUAGUAGAGCGGCGCACGGGUGCGUAACACGUGGGUAAUCUGCCUCAAAGCCCGGGAUAACCUGCCGAAAGGCAAGCUAAUACCGGAUAAGCCUACGGACUCUUCGGGGUCUGAAGGAAAGGUGGCCUCUGUAUACAAGCUAUCACUUUGAGAUGAGCCCGCGGCCCAUCAGCUCGUUGGCGGGGUAACGCCCACCAAGGCAACGACGGGUAGCUGGUCUGAGAGGACGAUCAGCCACACUGGAACUGAGAUACGGGGCCAGACUCCUACGGGAGGCAGCAGUAGGGAAUAUUGGACAAUGGGUGAGAGCCUGAUCC
rnacentral:rRNA from 1 species